AGUCACUGACAUUAGAUACCCGCGUAGUCCCAGCCGUAAACAAUGUGCGUUAGGUGUGUCGGUAACCACGUGUUACUGAUGCGCCGAAGAGAAAUCGUGAAACGCACCACCUGGGAAGUACGGUCGCAAGGCUGAAACUUAAAGGAAUUGGCGGGGAGCACCACAAGAGGUGGAGGCUGCGGUUCAAUUGGACUCAACGCCGGAAAACUCAUCGGGAGCGACAGCAGUAUGAUUGCCAGGUUGAUGACCUUGCUUGACAAGCUG
rnacentral:rRNA from 1 species